AGGUAAGCUACUAAGAGCGAAUGGUGGAUGCCUUGACUGGUAAAGGCGAUGAAGGACGUACUAGACUGCGAUAAGCUACGGGGAGUUGUCAAGAAGCUUUGAUCCGUAGAUUUCCGAAUGGGGCAACCCAAUGUAUAGAGAUAUACAUUACCUAUAUAGGAGCGAACGAGGGGAAUUGAAACAUCUUAGUACCCUCAGGAAAAGAAAUCAAUAGAGAUUGCGUCAGUAGCGGCGAGCGAAAGCGCAAGAGGGCAAACCCAGUGCUUGCACUGGGGGUUGUAGGACUGCAAUGUGCAAGAGCUGAGUUUAGCAGAACAUUCUGGAAAGUAUAGCCAUAGAGGGUGAUAGUCCCGUAUGCGAAAAACAAAGCUUAGCUAGCAGUAUCCUGAGUAGGGCGGGACACGAGGAAUCCUGUCUGAAUCCGGGUCGACCACGAUCCAACCCUAAAUACUAAUACCAGAUCGAUAGUGCACAAGUACCGUGAGGGAAAGGUGAAAAGAACUGAGGUGAUCAGAGUGAAAUAGAACCUGAAACCAUUUGCUUACAAUCAUUCAGAGCACUAUGUAGCAAUACAGUGUGAUGGACUGCCUUUUGCAUAAUGAGCCUGCGAGUUGUGGUGUCUGGCAAGGUUAAGCAAACGCGAAGCCGUAGCGAAAGCGAGUCUGAAUAGGGCGCUUAGUCAGAUGCUGCAGACCCGAAACGAAGUGAUCUAUCCAUGAGCAAGUUGAAGCUAGUGUAAGAACUAGUGGAGGACUGAACCCAUAGGCGUUGAAAAGCCCCGGGAUGACUUGUGGAUAGGGGUGAAAGGCCAAUCAAACUUCGUGAUAGCUGGUUCUCUCCGAAAUAUAUUUAGGUAUAGCGUUGUGUCGUAAUAUAAGGGGGUAGAGCACUGAAUGGGCUAGGGCAUACACCAAUGUACCAAACCCUAUCAAACUCCGAAUACCUUAUAUGUAAUCACAGCAGUCAGGCGGCGAGUGAUAAAAUCCGUCGUCAAGAGGGAAACAACCCAGACUACCAGCUAAGGUCCCUAAAUCUUACUUAAGUGGAAAACGAUGUGAAGUUACUUAAACAACCAGGAGGUUGGCUUAGAAGCAGCCAUCCUUUAAAGAAAGCGUAAUAGCUCACUGGUCUAGUGAUUUUGCGCGGAAAAUAUAACGGGGCUAAAGUAAGUACCGAAGCUGUAGACUUGCACACAACUUAGAUUAUUUAAGUUUAGAAUAUAAAAAAACUAAGUUAUAUGUUUUAAGUUAUAUUUUUACUGAUUUUUAUAGAGUAAAGAUAGAAAUAAAGCUUAGUAAAAUCAGUAAAAAUAUUCUUGGUUUAAAGUUUAAGUAGUUUAAGUUGUGUGCAAGUGGUAGGAGAGCGUUCUAUUUGCGUCGAAGGUAUACCGGUAAGGAGUGCUGGAGCGAAUAGAAGUGAGCAUGCAGGCAUGAGUAGCGAUAAUUAAUGUGAGAAUCAUUAACGCCGUAAACCCAAGGUUUCCUACGCGAUGCUCGUCAUCGUAGGGUUAGUCGGGUCCUAAGUCGAGUCCGAAAGGGGUAGACGAUGGCAAAUUGGUUAAUAUUCCAAUACCAACAUUAGUGUGCGAUGGAAGGACGCUUAGGGCUAAGGGGGCUAGCGGAUGGAAGUGCUAGUCUAAGGUCGUAGGAGGUUAUACAGGCAAAUCCGUAUAACAAUACUCCGAGAACUGAAAGGCUUUUUGAAGUCUUCGGAUGGAUAGAAGAACCCCUGAUGCCGUCGAGCCAAGAAAAGUUUCUAAGUUUAGCUAAUGUUGCCCGUACCGUAAACCGACACAGGUGGGUGGGAUGAGUAUUCUAAGGCGCGUGGAAGAACUCUCUUUAAGGAACUCUGCAAAAUAGCACCGUAUCUUCGGUAUAAGGUGUGGUUAGCUUUGUAUUAGGAUUUACUCCGAAAGCAAGGAAACUUACAACAAAGAGUCCCUCCCGACUGUUUACCAAAAACACAGCACUCUGCUAACUCGUAAGAGGAUGUAUAGGGUGUGACGCCUGCCCGGUGCUCGAAGGUUAAUUGAUGGGGUUAGCAUUAGCGAAGCUCUUGAUCGAAGCCCGAGUAAACGGCGGCCGUAACUAUAACGGUCCUAAGGUAGCGAAAUUCCUUGUCGGUUAAAUACCGACCUGCAUGAAUGGCGUAACGAGAUGGGAGCUGUCUCAAAGAGGGAUCCAGUGAAAUUGUAGUGGAGGUGAAAAUUCCUCCUACCCGCGGCAAGACGGAAAGACCCCGUGGACCUUUACUACAGCUUGACACUGCUACUUGGAUAAGAAUGUGCAGGAUAGGUGGGAGGCUUUGAGUAUAUGACGCCAGUUGUAUAUGAGCCAUUGUUGAGAUACCACUCUUUCUUAUUUGGGUAGCUAACCAGCUUGAGUUAUCCUCAAGUGGGACAAUGUCUGGUGGGUAGUUUGACUGGGGCGGUCGCCUCCCAAAUAAUAACGGAGGCUUACAAAGGUUGGCUCAGAACGGUUGGAAAUCGUUCGUAGAGUAUAAAGGUAUAAGCCAGCUUAACUGCAAGACAUACAAGUCAAGCAGAGACGAAAGUCGGUCUUAGUGAUCCGGUGGUUCUGUGUGGAAGGGCCAUCGCUCAAAGGAUAAAAGGUACCCCGGGGAUAACAGGCUGAUCUCCCCCAAGAGCUCACAUCGACGGGGAGGUUUGGCACCUCGAUGUCGGCUCAUCGCAUCCUGGGGCUGGAGCAGGUCCCAAGGGUAUGGCUGUUCGCCAUUUAAAGCGGUACGCGAGCUGGGUUCAGAACGUCGUGAGACAGUUCGGUCCCUAUCUGCCGUGGGCGUAAGAAGAUUGAAGAGAUUUGACCCUAGUACGAGAGGACCGGGUUGAACAAACCACUGGUGUAGCUGUUGUUCUGCCAAGAGCAUCGCAGCGUAGCUAAGUUUGGAAAGGAUAAACGCUGAAAGCAUCUAAGCGUGAAGCCAACUCUAAGAUGAAUCUUCUCUAAGCUCUCUAGAAGACUACUAGUUUGAUAGGCUGGGUGUGUAAUGGAUGAAAGUCCUUUAGCUGACCAGUACUAAUAGAGCGUUUGGCUUAUCUUU
rnacentral:rRNA from 1 species